GACGAACCGUGCGAACGUUGUUCGGAAUCACUGGGCUUAAAGGGCGCGUAGGCGGCGGAUCAAGUCCGGGGUGAAAGCCCCCAGCUCAACUGGGGGAAGUGCCUCGGAUACUGGUUCGCUCGAGGGAGGUAGGGGUCGCGGGAACUUCCGGGUGGAGCGGUGAAAUGCGUUGAGAUCGGGAAGGAACGCCCGUGGCGAAAGCGAGGUCCUGGACGCCUACUGACGCUGAGACGCGAAAGCCAGGGGAGCGA
rnacentral:rRNA from 1 species